AUUGAACGCUGGCGGCAGGCCUAACACAUGCAAGUCGAACGGUAGCACAGAGAGCUUGCUCUCGGGUGACGAGUGGCGGACGGGUGAGUAACGUCUGGGAAACUGCCCGAUGGAGGGGGAUAACUACUGGAAACGGUAGCUAAUACCGCAUAACGUAGCAAGACCAAAGUGGGGGACCUUCGGGCCUCACACCAUCGGAUGUGCCCAGAUGGGAUUAGCUAGUAGGUGGGGUAAUGGCUCACCUAGGCGACGAUCCCUAGCUGGUCUGAGAGGAUGACCAGCCACACUGGAACUGAGACACGGUCCAGACUCCUACGGGAGGCAGCAGUGGGGAAUAUUGCACAAUGGGCGCAAGCCUGAUGCAGCCAUGCCGCGUGUAUGAAGAGGGCCUUCGGGUUGUAAAGUACUUUCAGCGGGGAGGAAGGCGGUGGAGUUAAUAACUUCACCGAUUGACGUUACCCGCAGAAGAAGCACCGGCUAACUCCGUGCCAGCAGCCGCGGUAA
rnacentral:rRNA from 1 species